ACCACAGCCGCGGUCGGCCCCGUCCUCUCACGCUCGCGAUGUUGGCACGCGCCGCUCGUUAACUGGAGUCGAGCGAGCGUGUUGCGCGACUGAAGCCGGCGUGGCCGGCCGCAACCCAGCGGUUAGCGUCGCCGGAGCCCUCGGGCUUGGGGCGUCCGGGCGAAGGGCAGGGAUUCAAUCGGCGGGGCCCUUACUCUGCAUUGCACGCGCCGAUAUUUUUUUUUAUGUUUCAACUUUCAAGCACUGGAGAAGCAUAUGGGCCUUGGUGAUCUGGCUUCAAGGCACUAAUGCACAAUGGAUUUUUAGGCUCACUCAGCCUGUCAGCAUGGACUGAAACUGGAGCCCGUCUUUGGAGCUUUCAGUGUGUCUACAUUGAGCCUUGAGUUGUGCAUUGUGAUCUUCUUCCGGGCCUCAAAGUUGCUAAUGGACGGAAGAAAACUCACACACUACACUCUAAAUUUCUAAGUGUAUCAUGUCCGAGGUUGCGUCAGGUUCAAACACUGAGGAUUCUGAGACUCUCAGUCAGUGCCGAGUUAAGAUCUGAGACUCUCAGUCAUCAAUCACAGCAACCAACCAUCCUAGUGCAGCAUCGAACAUCUAGCAUAACAACGCCAUUACGUACGUACAUAGUGGGGAUCACACUAGGAGGGGGAGCGGCAUGAGCAGCUGAGCACCCCCUUUGGCCGAUUUUCUGUCCGCUUCGCUUACGACGGAAUCGCAUUACGUCUGGGUGCAUUGCAAGAUUGUACUAUGAGUUAACGUUUUGUUCUUGGCUCAUCAGAUUUGGAAGGCCCCCGUCGAUCUCAUCCGUGCUCCUCCUGUGGCUCCUGGAGAAACCAAACAGCCAACCGUGGAAGUGGGAUGCGCGGCUGCCGGCAAGCAUGCAAUGCAACGCACGUAGCGUACGUGCGUCAAAGACUGGUGAAAAGAUGAGACCCGCCGCAGUCCGCACGGUCCGAUUAUGUUCUUCUGAAUGAUAUACAUCGGCGGCCGGAGGACCACCGGCGCGCCGAGGUGGAGGAGGAUGAACCUGGCCGCGUUCGUGCGUGUGCUGAGCAACAGCUGCUGGCUACCAUGUCAAAGUCGUCCUUGUUCGGCACCACAUUGCGUGGCUUUUGACAUUUAUGUGUCACCUUCCCAUUAUUCCCCUCCAAUGGUGAGCGCGCAGCAAAGGCUCGGGAGCGGGCCAUGCCAUGUUUCCCUUGGAGCCGAGCGUGCUGCCUCCGUGUGCCACUUGCGGCAGUAGCCCUUGGAGCCGAGCGUGCUGCCUCCGUGUGCCACUUGCGGCAGUAGCUUGGCGAACAUCUGUCCCUGCGGCCCACGGAUUUUGUAACGUCACUGGCUGAUUGAUUGACCAAGUGAUACGAUUGCAGCAACACGUCGGCCGGUGAGCUUCGAAAUGCUGUACACAAAAGGAAGGACCAUUAUCUCGCAGAGUUCUGUACUUCUCUACUUCUGCAAGAGUUGUGUAGUACAGCUUUGCUUAAUUCCUAAGACAUGCAGUACAGAUUAGUCUGGUGCAUGCACAAUAUGCAGGCAUUACAUCGUCGUGUUAAAUGCGUCAUCUGUAUAUAUAAAAGCAAACCAAUAUAUAAAGCAUUACGCCAUAUGCAUUCUACCACUUGUUCGCUUAUUCCCAUUUUCCAGCUUGUGGCUGCAUGGUAGCUUUUUUUUAUAUAGCUCUGCUUGUUGGAGUAUACAGAGAAUAUAUCUAUCCCACGUCAUGCUCAUCACCAACAGUGAUGCCCUGUUUCGUUUUUUUUUUCUUUUUUUUUGCCUUGU